GAAAGUCUCUAUCCUUCCUCCAACCCUUCAGCUCCCUGUGGCAUCCUGAUAGGCAGGGCCUAAAAGGAGCCAGCUGGCAAAGGAAAAAUGUCAUUUGCAGAGGCUCAGCCCCAGCAUCAGAAAGCAGAGCAGGGAGGAGGGGAAAAUUGAGCCGAGAAACAAUGGUUUAACAACUAGCACCCCAGCAUGUGCCAGGAGCUCCCUGAGCCCUCAGUUUUUGGCCCUCCAACUGGGACUCUCACCAUUGGCUCCCCUGGUCCUCAGGCCUUUGGAUUCAGACAGGAACUGCAGGAUUGGCUUUCCUGGAAGAUUUUGGGACUCCUCAGCCUCCAUAGUCACCUUCUACAGGCCACCAGCGUUCAUUCCUUGGCUUAUGUCUCCUGCCAUCGUCAAAGCCAGCAAUGGCCACUUGAAUCUCUCCCUCCUCUGAAGCUCACUCUCCCGCCUCCCACCCAGAUGAUCCAGGACGAUCUCCCAUCUCAAGGUUCUUGAGCACAUCUGCCAAUUUGCUUUGCCAUGAGGUGCAGAAGAUAAUGAAAUGGAUCAGACCCUGGUGAGCAGACAAGCAUACCAGGGGGGAGCAGGUCCUGGUGAUAAGCCCCACCUCAGGUGAGAGGGGGCACGAAGUACCACGUGGGAAGAUGGAAUCCAGUGCCUGGAGCUCAUGGUCCAGACAGAUUUUAAGCUCUUGAAGGCAAAACCUGAAUAGUCUUUGUCUUCGCAGCCUCUGCAGAAGAACUGGUGCAGUGACGUACAGCCAUGCUCAAAGUAUUUAAUAAACAUUUGACUACUUUCCUGUGUCUCUGGGUAUCCCAUGACCUGCAUGAAAAUGAAAACAACACGAUCCGCAAGUCGGUCUCAAGGAGUUGGCAGUGAUGAAUACAAACAGAACAGCUUACAACUCUGCUCUACAAUGGUUAGAAUCAUGGAAAACUGUAAAAAAAAAAAAAAAAAAAGUAAAACAGGUACUAUGGAAGAUGAUAACUGUGAAAGACAAGGUAGAUACAAUCCAAAUAUACAUGGAGUCCAAAAGCGAAGUGGACAAGGAUGCUUCCUGCCUUCCACCGCUGCCUCCCGCACUUGAUGUAAAUGAAAAAUAAACAUCAGCGGUGUUGAGUCGCAAGAGGGACCAAUUCACCGCCCUCCACUCCUUUUUUAUUUACUCUAGGUUCUCAUAGAAACCACCCUUUUCCACUUACGUUAUUUUUACACAUCUUCAAAAUAGGUGUUUGAAAGAACAGUUAUAUUUCAAAUGAAAUAAUUGGUUUCACUGUGCAUUAUUUAUGCAUUUCUGUAGUCAGAAUUUCUCCUUUUAAUACUCGUCAAUCUAGAUGAAGCCCUCCAAUGAUUUCAACAGAAGAACUAUUUGAGUUGUAUAUUUCUGAAAAUUUUCAGGCCUUAGAAUGUCUUUCAUGAAAAAAUAAUAGGUUGACGGGACAUAGCCACUUUGUGUCACUCUCUUUUUCUUUAAGGAUUUUGCAAAUAGAAUUCACUGGCUUCUGACACUGUAAGUUGUAGUAGAGGAAUGUGAAAUUAUCCUAAUUCGGGCCCAUUGGAAUUUUUUGUAUGGGUAAUACAUCUUCAAGAGAUAAAUGCAUAGCCGAGAGAUGGUGGAUAGAUAUUGUGAAAUAUCUAUGUCCCCCAAUCCUAUUUCUCAUCCACCCAUUUCCCACCCCCACCUCACCACAGGUAAUGACUAUGACUGUCUCUAGCUCAGAGAAAUAACUACUAGAAGAAGCUUCUUAUGCACCAACAA